rnacentral:lncRNA from 1 species
GUUGCUUCGGUUUGUUUUUUCUUGCACACGUUAAACAUGGAUUUCGGCGUCGGCAUGAUGUUGAAAGGCGGCGGAACAGUGGCGCCAUCGUCGAAAUAGCUGAGCCAAAGUUUGGAACGAGCAAAUUUCCACUCGGAGAUUUUGUCUUACGGCGAUUGCGGCAUAAGAGUUGGACAUCAUGGCAAUCAACAUGUUGAGGAGGACGAUAAUGUUGAUCAUGGAAUACGAUCCGAACAUGAGCAAGCCCCAGAAGCGCGUGAAACCUUUGAUGCCUUGAAGUUCGAAUGAUUGCAAAUCGACAAGACCGAAGCUGGCCCAAAACAGGGAUUGCGACGUCUCGAACAAACUGUCGAAACAGAAACUCAUUAAAGGACCUCCGUUAGGCAAGCAGAAACAUUUUUUCCUGGUCAAAUCGGCGUAGUACCACAUCAGUUGAUUCAAACCUAUUCAAUUCCCCGGGCGACAAGGACCAACAUGUAGAUGAAGAAGAACUUGAUGAUGUCGAUAAUAAUUCGGCCGAGAGAGAUUUGCAGCGGACCCAGAUGCGGAGAGAUGGAGAAAACGUGGACCGUCUUCAGAUAACUGGAAAUAAUGGUCCGUACCUUGUAGUCGACGGUGAAUUCGGAUUCGAUGAUGGACAUGCGGUUCAAUUCGUUGCUCAACUCGAAAGCCGUCAAGACGGGAUCCUUGCUGGACAGGGCGAUAAGAGAUGGCGAAGCUAGUGCGCGGUAGGCAUUGAUCCUAGAGCGGGAAUGACGCAGAGAAUCGGCCUUGCUGGAAGCAAUGCACUCAUCGCAGCCGCACCUGUUCAAUCACAAUCGAUUCAUUAAUUAUUAUUGAUCCUGAUGGGUUUUUUCUUGUAAUUACCGGACGUCAUGGGGCAUAGGUAAGGCAGCGCCACGAUCCAGCAGGAGUUUCAGGAUCUCGUAGUUGUUCCGGUGAGCCGCCAGAAUGAGUGGAGUGAUGUCGGGCGUAAAAGUGGCAUUUUCGCUGUCCAGCGUUUCCCAGCUCUAGAAGAAGAAAAACAGUAAAAGAGAAAUCCUUUUUGCUCUUUCAGCGAUUAUAGAAAUGUCUAGACGUACGUAAGGAGUGCCAUCCUUGUGGUUUUUUUCUUCCCAUUCAAGAAGUAACUCGACGGCCUCGACGUAAUCCUCGCUGAUGGCGUGCAGGAGCCCGUCAGACACUUUAAUGCCACCUUCGAGCAGGACUUCAAGCAGCUCGUAGCUCUCGUUUUCGAUGGCGAUAACGAGCGACGUACGACCCAGCGGAUCCGUGCAGUUCAGGUUCAAAUCGUUUGGGCGAUCCUUGUAGUCUUCUAUCAAGCUGUAGAAUUUUGUCAAAUUAUUUGUUCCAAUUUUAAAGGGCUCCUCUAACCAAAAUUCGGUGCUAUGCAGAUGUAGGAUUCACUUAAUCCCUUAAGAUAUAGGAUAUAUGACCUUCGCCAUGUCUUGAACAAAUAGGACAAUGCGCUUUCAGUGUCACGUUCUGCAGAUGCAAUACCUUUUCUCCUUUUUUUUGUGUUAAGGUCAAUAGCGACAAGAGCAAAUAACAAACUGGACGUCAGGGGGUUUUGACUGUUUCUUAUACUGAUAUUCUAGGAAUGGCUGUUUUUCAUCCGCUCAAAAGUUGACGGAGAAAAAGGAGUUGGUGCAUGAAGGAGAUUUUCCAAAAGGAGAGAAAAAAAAAUAGGGAACUCUAUUGAAAGAAAUCUGUUUCCUGCUGGAUCUGAUGAUUCGAUUUUCCGCGUGCCUUUGCACGCGGGAAAAAAAGGAAGAAAAAAGUUGGGUUUCUUUUCUUUUUUGGGUCCCUGCAGUAGUAUUUAUGUAGACACUAGGAAAAGCGCUCCUUGUUGAGUCUUACUCGGAAGUCCUCGAGCUUAAAUAUGUGGGAGGGGAGAAGGGUGGACAAGUUUUCUCCUUGGGAGAGGGGCUUUAGCUGUGAAUAAGGAUAUGGAACUGGCAAAUCGGUCGGGCGUGUGACUGACUAAACAUUGAGUUGAAAUCGGAUUCUUGUUGGUUCGCAGCUAGCACUUGAGUUUGAGGUCGGAAUUGGCCAUUUUUGCAAGGAAAUGGAAUUUUGGGACCAACCUGCGGACUCCGUUGAAAUCACCGCGCUCGACCAGCAGCAAAUAUCGUUUCUCUUCGUUUUUCAGGAUCGACUCGACGGGCGGGCCCAUCACAAACUGCGGAUCUUCUUUGAUACUUAUCUGUCGCAUGGUCACAAGGUAAUAAAAGGCGAUACUUACACAUGAUGAUGGCCUACCAUCCAGGAUCGGACGGACUCGUUGGAUUGUCCGAGCGGCCAGCUGGCGUGCCGGGCUACUGAAGGCUCUGCAAAACUCGUCCACAUACUUCCUCGUUUUUCGGUGGAAUCAUUCGGCUAUUUUCGACUAACUAAUCUUGUUAGGCGUCAGCUCUAUCUACACACACACACAACAUACUCUCCUGUGUGUUAGUUUUAGAAUUUUGCCAUUCUUCUUUGUCCCGAUGUUUCACUUAAAAGGAUUACUCUAUGGUGGUGGCUUCUAUCAGAACACGUAUAGAUAUUCCCCGGCUGCCCUUCAAAAACAGUGGCCCCUCUCAAUCUGCUGUCCGGCUAUAUUUUGGUCCUUCCUAUAUGUACAUCGUUUGAUUUAUCACGAUCGAAAUUAUUGAUGUAUUCGUCCAUUUUGGUAUUUUUUUCCCGGGGAAAUCUGGAAAAGGGGGGCACAGUUAUGCGCUUAUAAAAUGCUGCUGCUUUGUUUUGUUA